CGCUGGCCGCGGCGGUGUUACUGCCGCCCCGGGAGCGGGGCCGGCGGCCUGAGAGGCGUCAGGGCUCCCCCCGGGUAUCACCCGCUGCCCGUGGGACACCCCCGGGAGACAAACACCCCCGGGAGACAAACACCCCCGGGAGACAGACAAACAAACACCCCCGGGGCUGCGCAGCGAGACCGUGCGGCAGGAUGCCCCGCCGCGGGGGCUGCGCGUUGCGGGGCGUCCCUGUGCGCCGGGCCUCUGGGGGGAGCCGGCCUGGAGGGCCUCUUCCAGCAGCAAACUUAGCGCUUCAGGAUGACAGAGGGAGUUGCUUUAAAAAGCAAGUGCUCUUCCUGGCUGGAAGAGCCAGAGCGCAGGAGCUUGAAAAUAAACCUGAGUGUGAUGUGGUAAAUAUCGUGCAAAGAAGAGAAAGUAAGUGUGACUUGAGAGAACAGCGGGUUGGAGAUCACAGGAAGAAGAAAACAAGCAUCAGUGAACCACAGUAAGGUGCUGUAAGGCACUCGCUCAGCCUUGGGAGCUGUCAGAAAGGAGGUGGCUCCCCCAGGUGAAGCUCAGGCUGAUAGCCCACAGCGUAGAAAGAGUCUUGUAAACUUGGUUGCACCUCAAGAAAGAUCCAUUUCUUCCAAAACUUGAAGGUGGCCAGCAGUUGCAGCUGUGUUCAGACAGACAGAAGCAGGUGAACGAACCUGCUGCUGUCCCACCAUUGUUCAGAGUGACUGUGAGAGACACCCCCGUGCCUUGUGGAAGCACUGUCUCUGAAGAGGCAGCUCCAAGUUUGCAUUUGGGGAUGAACCAAAAAAGAAAAAAAGGGUGGUGAGUAUGUCUUUGUUGAAUGGAUGUGUUGAAAUAUUUUGAGGAACUUAAUUGUUAGAAUCUUUCUGGAAAAAUUUAAAUUAAGAGGAAGAGAUGGCUUUAGUUGGUUUCUUAAUUUAGGAGUUUCCUGGUUUUGUAAAGCCCAGUCUAGUGAUGUACUACUAUAGGAAAAGGGGGGGGGGAAAAAAAAAAAAAAAAAAAAAAAAAAAAAACACC